ensembl:lncRNA
AACAGCUGGGAGCUUUCCAUACUCAGAGCUUCAAGGAACUCAACUUCCAAAACACAGAGAAUCUUGGCUCCUUGGCAUCUUCAGAGUCUCUUCUAUCAAAGCACAGGCUGCUGAGGACUUGGAGUCACCGGAGCUGUGGUGAGAGCAAAUGGCUUCCUCUCUGUGAGAGAAAAGGAAAGGGAGGGCUUAAGGUUGCAGGAAGAUAACCCAUUAUGUUUGUUCUGACUGUGGUUAGUGAGGUAAAAAGAAGGGGGUCAUGGCAGGUUAUGAAUGCCAGGCUUCUGUGGAUCUAGAAUCCCCUGAGGGUUCCCUAUCCUCUUAGAGACCUGACCUUGUUACAUGGUAAGAAAACAUGGGGCCCUGGAGGGAAGCAGCAGAACACUAGAGGCAGAAAGAAAUCAGCCCCUAUGGAAUUUGUUAUUUAGAAGAUGAGAACUUUGAUUUGCCAAGGGAAAUGAACUGUGCCAACCCAAGAGAGAAAGAGUGGUCUAGCCUUGGGUUGUUUUGCUUUGUUCCACAGACAGUAGGUCCUUCCUCUCCUGGCCCCUCUUUCUGUGCUUUCUUUCCAACCUGCAAUUGUGGCAAAGUAACAACAUACUCUUGAAUGUCAUACUCUUUCCCAGCAAAAAAUAGUUGCCUAGACACCUUGAACCCCCAGUUCCUUUCUGAGAGAAUUUCCCCAAAGUCAGUGCUACAAUUUGAGAAAAAGGAACUACCUGGUAAAUUAGACCCAAGGCUGCAGGAGUUCAGUGAGCUUUACUUCAGUCUUGGAAUUUGGUGAGCUCUGGUGUCUACCUUGGUUUUUAAGGACUGUGUCUCAGCUGUGUGACUGAAGGUAGUGAGUAUGAACCACAGACAGUUUUGAUAGCUGGGGUCUUGAUCUGAGAUGACCAGUGUCCCAGGCUAGCCAACAGCUCCUCUAAAUAUGACUGCACUGUAGGACUCUUGAGUUUUAAUAAUCUCAGGGGCAUUGUCCUUUUGCACUUUGGUGUGAGAUGAGACUUCUGUCCCCUUUCCAUGUGGAUACUGAUACCGAGUUGCUGUCUUAGGACAGGGCCUGAUAAGGAGGGUGUUGGAGAGGAGAGACAGGGAAGGAAGAGGAACAGACGGUUCAGUAGGGUGGGGCUGCAGCCGUAACUAUUAACUGGGCAGAAAGGAAACUGCUCUCUCUCCACAGUACAGGCUGUUCAGAAUACCGUUUACUUUGGUUGAGGUUUUGCUUGAUUAUUUUAGAGUGGAGGGCGGAAGAGGGAGGCAGACAGGGUCUUGAUGUAUACCCCAGGCUGGCCUGUAAUUCACUGUGGAUGUUCUGCAUGCCUCAAGCUCACAAUACCCCCAACAGGCUCCCAGGGGCAACACCACAGGUUGGUCUCCUUGCAGCCUUUUGGUUGGAGAUGAAGCUCUCUAGCAGGGCUCAUUUCCGGGGCAGCCCUCCUGUGUAGAAAUAUGUAAUGAUUGGCACUAAUGCACAUUAAUUAGCUCUCCGAUGAAGCAGAAUGCUCAUCAAGGUGGGAACACACAUCUUCCUGAGGGUUUCUUGCAGAGUUAAUUCGCAUUAACACCAUGGUUAAGCUUUCAGUUUAAAUCAGUGACUACACAUAUCUGACUUCAUGUUGUUCAUCUCCUGGGAGUCCAGACUUCUUCCUGGAGCCUGACUUUCAGCAACGUGUUCACUUGCUUUCCUUUAGCUGUGACCUAUUUGAAUCCAUGGCCAGUCUGAACUUAUCUUGGAAGAGUGUCUUUCUCCUUGGCCAGCUCUGGGUGCUUGGGAAAAAUAAAGGGAAAGUGUUGGUUUAUAAUAGAUAUGGACCCCUGGGCCUGAAUCCUCUCAGGUGUUGCGUGUGCCUCCACAGACCUGCCCAAGAUAAAGUUGCUGAGAAAAAAUCCCAAUGGAUGGCAGAUCAUGAUGAACUGUGCCACGAGGGAAAGAAAGCUCGUCAUGUCUGUGAAAUGGUCAUUCCUUUAGUUGUACUUUAAUGCAUGUGCUGCACAGGGGUUCUAUCCUCAACUGUCCACACAUCAGGGCAGAGCUUUGUCACUCAUUUUGUCGCGAGGCUGUAAACUGACACCAGCAUCUUUCAACCAUGAUGCUAGAAGAACAUGAGAUGCAGAAGCUUAACUCAAACAUUAGCAGAUUGGAUUCUGUCCUAGACUCUGACGUCAUACAGAGGGAUGGGCUGUGCCAUAUUCAUGGCCACUUGGGAGGCUGAGGUGAGAAGAAGAUUGGAGACUAGAAUUCAGGUAACUCUGGCCAGAGAGAGAAGGAAAACAAAGGAACAAGACUGCUUUAUUCCCUCUAGGGAAGCAUUAAACAAACAA